UGUUUAGUAGCUGACACUAACAUCCCUGC
rnacentral:piRNA from 1 species